UACAGAGGGUGCUAGCGUUAAUCGGAAUUACUGGGCGUAAAGGGUGUGUAGGUGGUUAGGUAAGUUAGAUGUGAAAUCCCCGGGCUUAACCUGGGAAUUGCGUUUAAAACUGCUUAGCUAGAGUAUUGUAGAGGAUAGUGGAAUUUCCAGUGUAGCGGUGAAAUGCGUAGAUAUUGGAAGGAACACCAGUGGCGAAGGCGACUAUCUGGACAAAUACUGACACUGAGACACGAAAGCAUGGGGAGCAAACAGG
rnacentral:rRNA from 1 species